GACGAACGCUGGCGGCGUGCCUAAUACAUGCAAGUUGAGCGCUGAAGGUUGGUACUUGUACCAACUGGAUGAGCAGCGAACGGGUGAGUAACGCGUGGGGAAUCUGCCUUUGAGCGGGGGACAACAUUUGGAAACGAAUGCUAAUACCGCAUAAAAACUUUAAACACAAGUUUUAAGUUUGAAAGAUGCAAUUGCAUCACUCAAAGAUGAUCCCGCGUUGUAUUAGCUAGUUGGUGGGGUAAAGGCUCACCAAGGGGAGGCUACAGAGCCCACCUGAGAGGGCGAGCGGCCACAUUGGGACGGAGACCCGGCACAAACGCCCAGGGGAGGCAGCAGUAGGGAAUCUUCGGGCAUGGACGAAAGUCUUACCGAGCAAGGCCGCGUGAGGGAAGAACGUUUUCGGAUCGUAAAACUCUGUUGGUAGAGAAGAAAGUUGGUGAGAGUGGAAAGCUCAUCAAGUGACGGUAACUACCCAGAAAGGGACGGCUAACUACGUG
rnacentral:rRNA from 1 species